rnacentral:tRNA from 1 species
GCCUCGGUAGCUCAGAUUGGUGGAGCGAUGGCUUCGUAAGCCAUAUGCCGCGGGUUCAAAUCCCGCCCGAGGCU